rnacentral:rRNA from 1 species
AUUGAACGCUGGCGGCAGGCCUAACACAUGCAAGUCGAGCGGAGCGGCGGACGGGUGAGUGAUGCCUAUGAAUCUGGCUGGUCGUGGGGGAUAACGUUCGGUAACGGGCGCUAAUACCGCUUACUUGCAGUUGAGGCUAGGUCGGAUUAGGUAGUUGGAGGGGUAAAGGCCUACCAAGGCGACGAUCCGUAACUGGUCCGAGAGGAUGAUCAGUCACACUGGAACUGAGACACGGUCCAGACUCCUACGGGAGGCAGCAGUGGGGAAUAUUGGACAAUGGGCGCAAGCCUGAUCCAGCCAUGCCGCGUGUAUGAAGAAGGUCUUCGGAUUGUAAAGCACUUUAAGUUGGGAGGCGUUACCAACAGAAUAAGCACCGGCUAACUUCGUGCCAGCAGCCGCGGUAAUUC